ensembl:sense_intronic Gm10855 predicted gene 10855
UUGCAUGUUCUACUGCUUGCCUGUAUAGACAGCAUCUACAUUAGUCAGCUAUUGACGCUAGAGAUGUGGUUCAGUUGGGAGAGAACAUGCCUACUAUGCAUGAGUCCUGGAUUCAACACUAGUACUACAUAAAUGGGUCAUGGUGGUAUAUGUCUGUAACCCCAGCACUCUGAAAGCAGGAAGACCAGAGGUCAAGGCCAUCUCUUCAGGCCUACUGGGAAGUUGCGCAUAACACGCAUAACACCAUCCUCUCUUUUUGUACUAUAGAAUAUAAAUCAUAAUGAUAAUAAUAAUAAUAAAUUUCUUUUCAGUUACUAGCUAUAAUCAAAGGAGAAGAGUGACUGGGUGACAGAAAGCCCUCAUGCUGUUGCUCUCCUCCAUAGACAGAUUUUGAAGACUGGAAGCCACCCAAGCCCUCCACAAUUCAGUUGUCUUGUGCUCAAGCUUCAAAUGCUGUCAGGGUCUCUUCUAGAAGCAGCCAAAUGAUUCUUGGGCCAAAAGAAGUGAAAAAGGCCAUGCUUUCCCAGUUAAAUCAAACUCUAGUCACCUUGAAAGUGGAGCAAAAUCAAUUAUUCUCUCCAAACUGCCAUCUCCUUCUUUAUGGGUCCAGCAGUGGAGAUAUAAUGGAUGCUUCACCAAGCCAGCUGGCCAGCCCAAAAGCCAAAAAUCAUUCUAUGUCAGGAGACAUUUUAGAUCCCAGCCCCAAAAUGCCCUGCUCUUUUUACAUAGCAGGUUUUCUUCAGUCUCUGAAUGCUGAACUCAUGGGGCCUGUGGAUUGCUCACAAGGCACCUUUGGCUCCAUGAACCAGAAAAGGCACAGAUGUGAAAAUAAAGUACAUAUGGCGCCAUGCAUCCACACAGUGCCUAGGCCCUGCAGGGGACAUGGCUACCCAAGUCAAGAGCACAGAGUCUCUGAACAAGCACUCAUGGAGAAGAAAAGCUUUGGAAAAUUUUGCAUGUCACAAAGUAGCAACAGGCUAUUACUAUGCCAGAAAUACUGUCUUAGCUUUAUGGUCUAUUAAAAAGCUGUGUCAUAACAAACUCUUAACCCUUCCCCAUGGAAGUUCUGCACCUAUUAUGCACUUUUCUCAUCAUAGUUGUGUGAUCUCUCCCAACUCUGGAAAGAGCGAAGCUCCCAAUCCUUUGAAUAAUUAAGUGUUAGAGCCUCUGAGACGGAGUUCAGUGGUGCAUGCCUUGGUAGCUGGGGCUUCUUUAGGUAGAAAUCAUGAAAUGAGAAGGCUGUAAGCAAGCUUGGGAUGACAGCAAUAAAGACUCAGGAGGGAUAGUCAGCAGAGAAUAAACUCAGAAGUGGCUCUGUGGGGAGUUCCAGAGCCUCUGAGUAUUGUUCCCAGCAAGCAUCUUGACAAGUGUCUGUAGCCACAUCUGUGUAUCUGUCAAUAACUGCUUAUAAAGAAGUAGUGAACAUAAGAUGGUUCGGGAAAAGGGAGACAGGGUGUUAUAGUUAUUUAAGUGGCUAUUUUAAAGCUAUAUUUAACCAGACAUUUGUACAAAGUAAUUAUGGCCUAUGGCUUUAUGGGAGACGAGAACAGUUGAAAGAAUUAGGCAAAGAUAGACCAGAUAAAUGAUGCUCAGAUUCUUGCUCACCAUUUGGCCCAUGUGUAAUUAAUUCUCUUCCUCGUUCCUCUAGUUACGCUUCCAGAAUUCUCUCUAUGCUUGUACAGGGCUCAGGUUUGGUAUUAGUAUAAGAUGCGGCUAGAUACAAACAGAUUGGCGAGCUGGUCCAGAAUCCUGCAUAAUAGCAGCACGGCCAUAAAAAUGCCAUCACCCUCACGCUGCAGGAAGAUAAAGCACGCUGCUCAUCUCGGAUGAACGCUUCGUCUCGUUCUGUCCUCGGGCCACAAUCAAUUGUACAUCAUUAACAAGACACAAAAUCUUUACUAAUUAGCUUUUAUGAUUAUAUUGUUAUUGCAUUGGGGCUUUUCAAGCAUUGGAAAUCGAGGAGAUAGGAUGCCCAGAAAAGAGCCCUGUGCAAAGGGGAGGACCAGAAGGGGAGGACCAGGAGCUCACCAGCCCUGUCAUCAUCAGACAUUUUCAAUCCAUUCCCAUCUGUAAUUUUCAGUUCGAUUCACUGUUAAGAUUAAUAUUUUAGUAAGAGACUGACAAGUGUUAGAAGAAAGAGAGAAGAAUAUUGAGUGUGCUUUCUCACCAGACAGAAGUCAGCUGUGGAAGUGAUCUAACAAGAAUAAUUAUUCAUUUUCUCUCUGCUCAAAAUCUUCAAGGCUAUUGAUAAUCCUCCAUAGCUUUGUUACAUGUUGCUCUCCUCAAGAUAUGAAAAAAUAAGAAUUCUCCUAAUUCGGAAGAUAUAUCUUUUACACUGGUAUAUAUUUCAAAUGGAUCAAAGAUUUAAUUUGAUAAUAUAUAAUAAUAAAUUUACCAAAAGUAUUCAUGGGAAGAUUUAAAUCGUCAUAUGAAACUCGAGCAUCUUACGAGAAAAAUUAGGUAAAUUCAAUGAUUUUUUUUUCAGAACAGAAGUAUUUUUUAAUUAGGUAUUUUCUUCAUUUACAUUUCCAAUGUUAUCCC